rnacentral:rRNA from 1 species
UACAGAGGGUGCGAGCGUUUGUUCGGAAUUAUUGGGCGUAAAGGGCGCGUAGGCGGUGCGGUAAGUCCCCUGUGAAAUCUCCUGGCUCAACUGGGAGCUUGCAGGCGAAACUGCCGUGCUGGAGUGUGGGAGAGGUGAGUGGAAUUCCCGGUGUAGCGGUGAAAUUCGUAGAUAUCGGGAGGAACACCGGUGGCGAAGGCGGCGACCUGGGACGAUACUGACGCUGAGGUGCGAAAGCGUGGGGAGCAAACAGG